UUUCCGUAGGUGAACCUGCGGAAGGAUCAUUACCGAGUGAGGUUCUGUCAGUCUCGACCUCCCACCCUGCUGUUUUGUGUCCUUGUUGCGGUUGCUUGCCCACCACGAUGUGAGGCCGCCGGAAGCUCACCGCUAUGGCAAGUUCCCAUCAGUAGCCCCCUUGAAUUCUUAAUAGACCAAUAACGUGGGUGAUUGGAUAUAAAGAAAAAAAACUUUCAAUCACUGAACUCUUGCUUCUGGCACCGAUGAAGAACGCAACAAAUAGGAAGAUCACACGUC
rnacentral:misc_RNA from 1 species